GCAGUGUGUGUGUGUGUGUGUGUGUUUUGCGCAGCGGUACAGAUGCAGCGUGUGUGUUUCGACAGUGGCGUGUGUGUGUGUUGUGAGCAGGUGUUUGUGUGAGGCAUCAGAGGGAGGAACACACACCCUCCAAAAGAGCAGCAAAGACGGAGGCGGCCGCAGUUUUCGCUUUUUUCUUUCGUUUUUUGUUCUUUUUCUUCCUCAUCGUGAUCGUGGGAGGUGCUCUCUCUUCUCAUUUGCUGGCUCUGUCCAUCAUCUGCCUGCUCGUCUACUUCUCCGUCUAUCUCAUCUAUAAUUUCUGCUAUUGAUGAGCAGCGGAGGAGUGUGUGUUUCUGCUCUCCCUCCAUCAUCCUGAUGCUGGUGUGUUGUGAUUGUAGGAAACUCAGUUUCUUCAUGACACUGAACUGCAACGCUUCUCCAGAUGAGCAAACACACGCCACUCUUUCUGCUCUUUUACAAUCGGACUAAAUGUGAGGUGAGAGCGUGUGUGCAUUCAAUGUGAACGGGACGCUGGACUUUAACACGGAUGUCUACGACACAUUGCCUCUGUUCGAUGCUCUGAAAACCAGGACGCUGAAGAGGACAGCAAAUCCAGAGGACAAACACACACUCAAACACACUCAUGAGGAAUGAGAAAAAGACACUACAGAGAGACUGUAGACCGACUGCUAAAAGUGUCUGCAGGAAACACACAACACACUCACUAUCAGCAGACAGACAGAGUCAGGACAGUCUGUGGUGAGUAGGGUAUGAGAGCGCUACAGAAUCAUGCGGUUUCUGAGAUGGAGGAAUAAAAGUUCGGCUGCACAAACACGAGGUUUCUGUCUUGCUCUCCUCCAUCAUGUCUUUCUGCAUUUACCGUGGCUUAGCUCCACCCUCUCAGGAAAAGCGGGUGUGGUUUUAUCCACUAGCUCCGCCUCUACGUCCUUGGCCCUGCCCAUCAUUGUACCAG